UGGGGAAUAUUGCACAAUGGGCGCAAGCCUGAUGCAGCCAUGCCGCGUGUAUGAAGAAGGCCUUCGGGUUGUAAAGUACUUUCAGUCGGGAGGAAUGUGGUAAGGUUAAUAACCUUAUCAAUUGACGUUACCGACAGAAGAAGCACCGGCUAACUCCGUGCCAGCAGCCGCGGUAAUACGGAGGGUGCAAGCGUUAAUCGGAAUUACUGGGCGUAAAGCGCACGCAGGCGGUCUGUCAAGUCGGAUGUGAAAUCCCCGGGCUCAACCUGGGAACUGCAUUCGAAACAGGCAGGCUAGGGUCUUGUAGAGGGGGGUAGAAUUCCAGGUGUAGCGGUGAAAUGCGUAGAGAGCUGAAGGAAUACCGGUGGCGAAGGCGGCCCCCUGGACAAAGACUGACGCUCAGGUGCGAAAGCGUGGGGAGCAAACAGG
rnacentral:rRNA from 1 species